GGCAACUUGGCCGAGUGGUCUAAGGCGCUGGAAUUAGGUACUAUCCAUCCAGUCCGAAAGGGCAUGAGUUCGAACCUCAUAGUUGUCA